UACGUAGGGUGCAAGCGUUAAUCGGAAUUACUGGGCGUAAAGCGUGCGCAGGCGAUUGUGCAAGACCGAUGUGAAAUCCCCGGGCUUAACCUGGGAAUGGCAUUGGUGACUGCACGGCUAGAGUGUGUCAGAGGGGGGUAGAAUUCCACGUGUAGCAGUGAAAUGCGUAGAGAUGUGGAGGAAUACCGAUGGCGAAGGCAGCCCCCUGGGAUAACACUGACGCUCAUGCACGAAAGCGUGGGGAGCAAACAGG
rnacentral:rRNA from 1 species